UACGUAGGGUGCAAGCGUUGUCCGGAAUUAUUGGGCGUAAAGAGCGCGCAGGCGGUAACUCAAGUCAGAUGUGAAAUAUCCGGGCUUAACCCGGAGGGGUCAUUUGAAACUGAGUAACUAGAGUACAGCAGAGGAUAGCGGAAUUCCCGGUGUAGUGGUGAAAUGCGUAGAUAUCGGGAGGAACACCAGUGGCGAAGGCGGCUAUCUGGGCUGAAACUGACGCUGAGGCGCGAAGGCGAGGGGAGCAAACAGG
rnacentral:rRNA from 1 species